rnacentral:pre_miRNA from 1 species
AUUCUACUACCUCCGUUGCACAAUACAUGCCUUCUAUUUGUCAAAAUAUAUGUGUAUCUAGACAUGUUUUAGUAUAUAGGUACAUCCAUUUUUGGAAAAAUGGAAGUCAAGUAUUUUGGAAUGGAGGGAGUACACA